rnacentral:lncRNA from 1 species
UGUUGAUGGCUGGACAUUGCAUCAUCCUAGAAAACCUGGAGGCCAGUGAGGACAAAAAUAAAAAGUUAUAAGACUUUGAAAUAUGUGGAUUUUAGGGUUAUCUUUGGCGCCCCCCAGAACCUAAACCGUGGGGUGCAGCGUCAUGAUUUGAAUAACUUUUAAUGGCCAUGGGGUGUAGAUUGGCCUGAGCAAAUGUGGUGCCGGUGGAACGCCAGCCUUAGGAGGAGUUAGCGAAAUUCCAAUGUGUGCGGAUCAGCAAAAAAUGCGGAAUAACCCUUUAACCGUACAUUUGACAGAUACGCACCCAUUGACUUUUUCGUAGAUCUUAUUGAGAUACACGUGAUUGUCAAAUUUUGUGUCAAUAUGACAAAGCGUACAGGUGUCACACUCAACAAUGUGAAUUUUUACCUUACGGGACAAGAAAAAAUUGACUUUUUUCUCCUGCCAUGGGGGGGCGCUCUUUUGGGGAGUAAAAAUUCCUUCACAAAUGUGUUGAUGGCUGGACAUUGCAUCAUCCUAGAAAACUUGGAGGCCAGUGAGGACAAAAAUAAAAAGUUAUAAGACUUUGAAAUAUGUGGAUUUUAGGGUUAUCUUUGGCGCCCCCUAGAACCUAAACCGUGGGGUGCAGCGUCAUGAUUUGAAUAACUUUUAAUGGCCAUGGGGUGUAGAUUGGCCUGAGCAAAUGUGGUGCCGGUGGAACGCCAGCCUUAGGAGGAGUUAGCGAAAUUCCAAUGUGUGCGGAUCAGCAAAAAAUGCGGAAUAACCCUUUAACCGUACAUUUGACAGAUACGCACCCAUUGACUUUUUCGUAGAUCUUAUUGAGAUACACGUGAUUGUCAAAUUUUGUGUCAAUAUGACAAAGCGUACAGGUGUCACACUCAACAAUGUGAAUUUUCACCUUACGGGACAAGAAAAAAUUGACUUUUUUCUCCUGCCAUGGGGGGGCGCUCUUUUGGGGAGUAAAAAUUCCUUCACAAAUGUGUUGAUGGCUGGACAUUGCAUCAUCCUAGAAAACUUGGAGGCCAGUGAGGGCAAAAAUAAAAAGUUAUAAGACUUUUAAAUAUGUGGAUUUUAGGGUUAUCUUUGGCGCCCCCUAGAACCUAAACCGUGGGGUGCAGCGUCAUGAUUUGAAUAACUUUUAAUGGCCAUGGGGUGUAGAUUGGCCUGAGCAAAUGUGGUGCCGGUGGAAAGAAAGCCUUCGGAGGAGUUAGCGAAAUUCCAAUAUGUGCGGAUCGGCAAAAAAUGCAGAAUAACCCUUUAACCGUACAUUUGACAGAUACGCCCGCACUGACUUUUUUGUAGAUCUUAUUGAGAUACAUAUGUGUGUCAAUUUUUGUGUCAUUUUGACAAAGCGUAAAGGCGUGACAGUCAAUAGUGUGAAUUUUCACCUUAGGGGGCGCUAUGGAGCCAUUUUGCAUUUUCUUGUUUGGGCGACUUCGGAAUAUCAAAUUUUUCACCAGGCUCGGUCAUCCUGCCAAAUUUCAUGAGUUUUCGCCAGUGGGAAGUGGGCCAUUUUCCAGUUCAAAGGGGAGGAAAAAGAAGAAAGAAAGAAACAAAGAAAAACCACUUGGGGAAUAAUAGGGCUCUCGCAGCUGCUUAGCAGCUACGCUCGGGCCCUAAUAAUAACAAAAGAAGGAAACUACAGGAACAAGAGGGCUCUCGCAGCUGCUUAGCAGC